AGCCCUUGUCACUGUGCUUUGAGGGACAC
rnacentral:piRNA from 1 species